UAAUGAAUGUAGCAUGGUACUGUCCACGGAAACUGAAUCAUGGGUUUGAAAUGUCUGUGCCCUCUUUGAGACCCACAUUCUCUUUGUCUAAAUUUUGCAUUAAAAUU
rnacentral:snoRNA from 1 species